AAACACUCAAAAGACCUGGGCCUCAGGAAGCCUGGAAAUUAAAGUCGUUUUUGGAAAUUAUGUUGCAGAUCAGACAAACACCGUGUUCCAUGAAAUCCACUGGUGUUGAAAGAGACUUUCUGCUAAAGUUAUCACAGCUCUUGAGAGGACGGCUAUAUGGCCAGAUUGAUGUCUGAGACUUUAUUGUUCGUUUUAAUAGUUGGAAUUCUCGUCCUUCUACUGUAUGAGUCAAGCACAUGCUAAAUGCUUCGUGGAUAUUGAUCUGGUCCUAUAAUAGGCUUAUGAGGUGAGUGGUUUUACACACUCACCUCUCUCAUUUACACACGAGAGACUGAAGGAGCAGUGAGGUUGGAUGACUUGCCCAGGAUGGCUCAGCUUGCA